GAUGAACGCUAGCGAUAGGCUUAACACAUGCAAGUCGAGGGGCAGCAUGGUCUUAGCUUGCUAAGGCUGAUGGCGACCGGCGCACGGGUGCGUAACGCGUAUGCAACUUGCCUCACAGAGGGGGAUAACCCGUCGAAAGACGGACUAAUACCGCGUACACUCUAUGUUGGGCAUCCAAUGUAGAGGAAAUGAAAUUCGCUGUGAGAUAGGCAUGCGUCCCAUUAGCUAGUUGGUGAGGUAACGGCUCACCAAGGCGACGAUGGGUAGGGGAACUGAGAGGUUGAACCCCCACACUGGUACUGAGACACGGACCAGACUCCUACGGGAGGCAGCAGUGAGGAAGAUUGAUCAAUGGGCGAGAGCCUGAACCAGCCAAGUCGCGUGAAGGAUGACUGUCUUAUGGAUUGUAAACUUCUUUUAUACGGGAAUAACAAGAGUCACGUGUGGCUCCCUGCAUGUACCGUAUGAAUAAGCAUCGGCUAACUCCGUG
rnacentral:rRNA from 1 species